AGGACGAACGCUGGCGGCGUGCUUCACACAUGCAAGUCGAGCGGAAAGGCCCUUCGGGGUACUCGAGCGGCGAACGGGUGAGUAACACGUGAGUAACCUGCCCCUAGCACCGGGAUAGCUCCGGGAAACCGGAAUUAAUACCGGAUAUGACCACGGUCGGCAUCGACCUGUGGUGGAAAGGAUUCCGGCUAGGGAUGGACUCGCGGCCUAUCAGCUAGUUGGUUGGGGUAACGGCCCACCAAGGCGACGACGGGUAGCCGGCCUGAGAGGGCGACCGGCCACACUGGGACUGAGACACGGCCCAGACUCCUACGGGAGGCAGCAGUGGGGAAUAUUGCGCAAUGGGCGAAAGCGUGACGCAGCAACGCCGCGUGGGGGAAGACGGCCUUCGGGUUGUAAACCCCGUUUCCUAGGAGGGACGAAGCUCGGACAGUUAAUAGCUGUUCCGCGUGACGGUACCUUCAUAAGAAGCCCCGGCUAACUACGUGCCAGCAGCCGC
rnacentral:rRNA from 1 species